UGGAGGAGCCGUGUUUGUUUGUUUCUCAUCCCUCGAUUCUUCUUUAUUGUCAGCAGUAAUAAUAAUCCAAUAAUCCGAUUGCAUCACUAUCCGGAUAACAAACUCAAUGAGGCGAAUGUUGGACACGGGUUCUCUUCCCUGCUCGCCUUAUCGUGACUCAUAACUCAUCCAAACAUGUGUUUGACUCUGCUGAGAAACUCUUUGUUGACUCUAUUACUGUUGAGCUCGGCGCAGUCUGUGGAACUGUGUCGUUUCAGCAGUCAAUGUCUGGACAAGCUUUACGGCUUUUACACUUUUGCUAUUUUAGCAUCUGCUGGACUGUGUGAGGAGCCUAUAUUUAAAUCACUGGAGCAGAAACACAUAUUUACUUUGGAGCUGAAAGGCAACAUAAGGACUUAGAUUCGAAGCAGCUACAUGAUAUUGACAACAAAGGUUGUGAACUACAACAUUUUUUACAAUCGAUCAAAAUGGGCAAGUAUAUUUUUAAGCAUGUACUUUAGAGAUGAAUAUUCAAUGUGUGUCGUAACCAAGAUAGGGACCGUCUAAAAAGUUCAUAUUGUUUUUCAUCGUGUGCAAACAGACAACUACAUUUUAGCCAACUGCAGAUGUAGCCUACUGGCAAAUAUCUCUCACAUGAUGUGUUCUGAUGCUAUAGAAUGUCCUUUAGCAAUAAAACCUGCAUUAUAAUGAUGGUGUUUAAAAAGGUGUUUAUGAAAUAAUAAUGAAUGAAUCUGUACAUGAACUGUAAUUUGGUAACAAUCCAGACUGUAGAAAGGAAAAUCAUGUUUAAUCUCCUGAACAUAGUUAAUUGCUUCAUUUUACAACCAUUUAUAUUUAUUUAUUUAUUUAUUUGAGGAAAAAAAAAUGAAAAAGAAGUGUGUAAGUGUG